rnacentral:lncRNA from 1 species
ACAAAUGGGGGCCUUGUCAUAAAAUACUCUGUGGUUAAGCGUGCUGCAGUCAAAGAAAUCUUAGGAUGAGUGACCCACUGGGAAAUACGGAGCACCUCGAUCUACAAGUGGUAUCAGAGCUUGGUCACAUGUUUGACGGGUGAGCUAGCACUGUGGGUGAAUGGCGAAGACCUGGGGCGUGGCCAAGACAACUAACAAAGGCGGUAGACUAUCACCGACGAAAUUAAUUUGUUACCAAAAAUAUUUGGCAAUAAAAAUAAAAUUCGUCGGCAUUAAAUAUUGACG